AUUGAACGCUGGCGGCAUGCUUUACACAUGCAAGUCGAACGGUAACAGGCCGCAAGGUGCUGACGAGUGGCGAACGGGUGAGUAAUGCAUCGGAACGUGCCCAGUCGUUGGGGAUAACGCAGCGAAAGCUGCGCUAAUACCGCAUACGAUCUAUGGAUGAAAGCGGGGGACCGUAAGGCCUCGCGCGAUUGGAGCGGCCGAUGUCAGAUUAGGUAGUUGGUGGGGUAAAGGCUCACCAAGCCAACGAUCUGUAGCUGGUCUGAUAGGACGACCAGCCACACUGGGACUGAGACACAGGCCAGACUCCUACGGGAGGCAGCAGUGGGGAAUUUUGGACAAUGGGCGCAAGCCUGAUCCAGCAAUGCCGCGUGCAGGAAGAAGGCCUUCGGGUUGUAAACUGCUUUUGUACGGAACGAAACGGUCCUGGUUAAUACCUGGGGCUAAUGACGGUACCGUAAGAAUAAGCACCGGCUAACUACGUGCCAGCAGCCGCCGUAAUAC
rnacentral:rRNA from 1 species